AGGACGAACGCUGGCGGCGUGCUUAACACAUGCAAGUCGAGCGGAAAGGCCCUUCGGGGUACUCGAGCGGCGAACGGGUGAGUAACACGUGAGCAACCUGCCCUUAGCUUCGGGAUAGCUCCGGGAAACCGGAAUUAAUACCGGAUAUGACUAUGGCCGACAUCAGCCAUGGUGGAAAGUUUUUCGGCUAGGGAUGGACUCGCGGCCUAUCAGCUAGUUGGUGAGGUAACGGCUCACCAAGGCGACGACGGGUAGCCGGCCUGAGAGGGCGACCGGCCACACUGGGACUGAGACACGGCCCAGACUCCUACGGGAGGCAGCAGUGGGGAAUAUUGCGCAAUGGGCGAAAGCCUGACGCAGCGACGCCGCGUGGGGAUGAAUGCCUUCGGGUUGUAACCCCUUUCAGCAGGGACGAAGCGAAAGUGACGGUACCUGCAGAAGAAGCGCCGGCUAACGUACGCGCCAGCAGCCGC
rnacentral:rRNA from 1 species